rnacentral:rRNA from 1 species
CAAUAGCGUAUAUUAAAGCUGUUGCGGUUAAAAAGCUCGUAGUUGGAUUUCUGUCAAGGUCAACUGGUCCGCCCUCCGGGUGAGCACAUAGUUUGGUCUUGGCAUCUUGCUGGAAACUGUUGCUGCACUUGGCUGUGUGGCGCAGCGUCCAGCACUUUCACUUUGAGGAAAUUGGAGUGUUUCAAGCAGGCACAUGCCUUUGGACACAGUAGCAUGGAAUAAUUAGAUUGGGCUUUUGCUCCAAUUUGUCGGUUUCUGGAGCUGAGGUGAGAAUUAAUGGGGAUUGUUGGGGGCAUCCGAAUUUAGCCGUCAGAGGUGAAAUUCUUGGAUCUGCUAAAGACGGACAACUGCGAAAGCGUUUGCCCAGGAUGUUUUCAUUGA